rnacentral:lncRNA from 1 species
UUUUAACAAGACAGAAACAUGUUCAAAAGUUUGUGUAAAAUUUUAUGAUAUAGCAAGUGAAGAUCGAAAGAAAAGGCUGGAGUUUUUGAAGAAAGGAACACAGCUGAAUUAUCAAUGUCACUGGAAAACAAACAUAUCAAGUGGGAUUCUAGAUGGGAUUACAUUUUGGAGUCUAUGCCUCAUCCCCACAUCCAGUGGCUUAGUUCUGGCCUGUCUUGGUUUCCCUUCCCCUGCCAAUCGAAGUCUUUAAUGACCUGUGCUGUUUUGUCAUGGGUCCUUCUGGGAACCUCUGCUGGAUACGUGUCUGCUAAAAUGUAUAAGAGCAAGCAUUACAACUCUUUAUUUUGCUGGUUAGGUAUCCAGUUUGCACAAACCAGAUUCCACGUCAGAUUCCUCAACAGAUUUUCUCUAGAAAAUGACUUUUGGCAUCAUAUCAGUGGCAUUUUCCCUUUUGGCUGUAUUUUUAUUCAACUCUUUUUCCUUCUGAACAGUGUUUGGUAA